rnacentral:rRNA from 1 species
UUUAUGGAGAGUUUGAUCCUGGCUCAGGAUGAACGCUGGCGGCGUGCCUAAUACAUGCAAGUCGAGCGAACGGACGAGAAGCUUGCUUCUCUGAUGUUAGCGGCGGACGGGUGAGUAACACGUGGAUAACCUACCUAUAAGACUGGGAUAACUUCGGGAAACCGGAGCUAAUACCGGAUAAUAUUUUAAACCGCAUGGUUCAAAAGUGAAAGACGGUCUUGCUGUCACUUAUAGAUGGAUCCGCGCUGCAUUAGCUAGUUGGUAAGGUAACGGCUUACCAAGGCAACGAUGCAUAGCCGACCUGAGAGGGUGAUCGGCCACACUGGAACUGAGACACGGUCCAGACUCCUACGGGAGGCAGCAGUAGG